UGCUGCUGCCCUCCUUGGGCGUUUCCUCCCUGACUGAGGCCGCUCGCGAGGGCGGCUUCUUUUUUGCCGGGA
rnacentral:sRNA from 1 species